rnacentral:tRNA from 1 species
GGUCCCUUAGUUAAACGGAUAUAACAGGGCUCUCCUAAGGCUCUAUUGCUGGUUCGAUUCCGGCAGGGAUCA